UACGUAGGGGGCGAGCGUUGUCCGGAAUUAUUGGGCGUAAAGAGCUCGUAGGCGGCUUGUCGCGUCGUCCGUGAAAACCCAUGGCUCAACUGUGGGCUUGCGGUCGAUACGGGCAGGCUGGAGUUCGGUAGGGGAGACGUGGAAUUCCUGGUGUAGCGGUGAAAUGCGCAGAUAUCAGGAGGAACACCGGUGGCGAAGGCGGGUCUCUGGGCCGAUACUGACGCUGAGGAGCGAAAGCGUGGGGAGCGAACAGG
rnacentral:rRNA from 1 species